rnacentral:rRNA from 1 species
AGUGGGUUGUACCAGAAGUAGAUAGCUUAACUGAAAGGGGGGCGUUUACCACGGUAUGAUUCAUGACUGGGGUGAAGUCGUAACAAGGUAACCGUAGGGGAACCUGCGGUUGGAUCACCUCCUUACCAAAAUGAAGC